AAAGUAUGAGCGAGGGUUAGCCACAUGUGCUAGCAUGUGUUGGAUUCUAGUCACACCACAGAAUAUGAAUUUCAAAAUUUUUUUAACAUGCAUAAAAAGAGUUUUAACACUUAAAACCAGCAUACUGAAACUCAAAACCUAGAAUCACAUUAUAGACUCCAAUCAAACUAUUCAAGCAUGCAAUAGGAUAGAAAUUAUACUUCCUAGAGAAG
rnacentral:lncRNA from 1 species